rnacentral:lncRNA from 1 species
AGGGAACAAUGGAUUUCAUUAAUGGAAAUCAACACAAUUAAAUAUAACAUAUUUGUUUGUUCAGAUCCCAUCCUUAGAAGUGAUUUCUUAUAUAAGGAAGAUAAUAUUAUCAGUAGCCAGACUUAAACAGAUUAAAAAAAUCAGCUCUACCUCAAAGGAUUUCUGAUGCACUGGUUAAAAACACAGCAGCUGAUAAUUCAGUUAAUUUACCAAGUGAUUUACCCUUCAAAGCUGCAGGGGUAGCUUUCCUGAAGAGUGCAAAAACUUCUUUAGCUUCCAAAAUGGUAUAUAGUACAAACAGUGAAGCUGAUAUAGACGAAUCUGAUCAUUCAUCAUCAACAAUAACUGAGAUUAAUAGUUCUACAGUAACCGUGGGGUGUAGGUCAACAAUUACUAUUUCUCAUCCAAGCCGUUUUUGUUUAACUGCUACAUAUUCCCUGACUCUGCCAAGGAAAAGGGUAAAAUCAAAAUGAUAUCCUGAGGACCUAAGCACUGAUGAUUCCACCGUUUCAAAAGCUAAAUCUAAGCUUGCGCCUAGUGGGUUUAAAUGGACAGUAUUAUACUUUCGCAGAUGACACAGUGCUUCUUUAUACUGGAAAAACAUCAGAAGAAACCGCAAAUUUGGCCAAUAAUGAUUUAAAAAUUUAUCAUGAGUGGUUGCUACAAAAUAACCUAAAAAUUAAUACAAACAAAACAAAAUAUAUAUUGUUUAAACAAAAAAAUAAAGUAAUAACAGAUAUAGAUAUAAAAAUUAAUAAUGAAAGUUUAGAAAAAGUUGAUAGCAUAAAAUAUUUAGGACUCUUUUUGGAUGAGCAACUAAGUUGGAAUGAACAUAUUAAACACAUUAAUAGCAAAAUAAUAUCAUUGAUCGGAGCACUUAAUAAAUGUAAAUAUUUCUUAACUGACAAUGCUAGGUAUAAAAUUUAUUAUGCGUUCUUUCUUUCAGUGGUCAGAUAUCAAAUACCAGUAUGGGGAACAUGUUAUAACACAAAUUUGAUUAAAAUAGAAACUCUGCAAAGAAAAACCUUAAAAAUUUUAUUUAAUAUUGAUUAUUUGACUCCAACAAAGAUUCUUUAUCAAUCCUUAUCUGUUCAACCAAUAGUAUAUUUAUUAAAUUUGGAACAAUGUAAAUUAAUAUAUAAGAUAAUAAAUCUUAAAUAUAAAUCUAAUACAGAAAUAAAGUAUGUUAAUGAAAUUCAUAACCAUAAUUUGAGGAAUUGUUCAAAUAUACGUUUGGACAAUGCUAGAACAGAUAAGGCACUGAAAAGCCCACUGGCUGCAGCUACACAGGUUUAUAACAGAUUACCAUCAGAACUAAAGAAUUUAAAAUCGUACAAUUUGUUUGUAAAAAGAUUAAAAUUAUUCCGUGUUAAUUGGGACUAUGUAUAACUAUUUUUAAACAUUUAAAUUGUGUUGGAUAGGGUUUUUUUUUGUUUUUUUUUUUAAGCUUAAGAGAGUAUAUGUUUUGUUAUUUUUAUUUUUGAUUGAAAUUAUGGGCGUCAUCUCCGGUACCAAUACUAUAAGUAUUGCUUAGGAGAUUACCUUAAUUCGGAUUUUAUAUUAUAGUUUACUGUAUAUUGUUACCUAUUAUAACUUGUUAAUUGUUUUGAUUUCUGAAUAAAGGAUUUACAGAAA